UGGGGAAUAUUGCACAAUGGGCGCAACCCUGAUGCAGCCAUGCCGCGUGUAUGAAGAAGGCCUUCGGGUUGUAAAGUACUUUCAGCGGGGAGGAAGGGAGUAAAGUUAAUACCUUUGCUCAUUGACGUUACCCGCAGAAGAAGCACCGGCUAACUCCGGGCCCGCAGCCGCGGCAAUACGGAGGGUGCAAGCGUUAAUCGGAAUUACUGGGCGUAAAGCGCAUGCAGGCGGUUUGUUAAGUCAGAUGUGAAAUCCCCGGGCUGAACCUGGGAACGGCAUGUGAUACUGGCAGGCUUGAGUAUCGUGGAGGGGGGUAGAAUUCCAGGUGUAGCGGUGAAAUGCGUAGAGAUCUGGAGGAAUACCGGUGGCGAAGGCGGCCCCCUGGACGAAGACUGACGCUCAGGUGCGAAAGCGUGGGGAGCAAACAGG
rnacentral:rRNA from 1 species